rnacentral:rRNA from 1 species
UACGAAGGGGGCUAGGCGUUGUUCGGAAUCACUGGGCGUAAGCGCAACGUAGGCGGAUUCUUAAGUCAGGGGUGAAAGUUCCGGGGACUCGAACCUCGGAACUGCCUUUGAUACUGGGGAUCUUGAGUCCGGGAGAGGUGAGUGGAACUGCGAGUGUAGAGGUGAAAUUCGUAGAUAUUCGCAAGAACACCAGUGGCGAAGGCGGCUCACUGGCCCGGAACUGACGCUGAGGUGCGAAAGCGUGGGGAGCAAAGCAGG